rnacentral:rRNA from 1 species
GAUGAACGCUAGCGGCAGGCCUAACACAUGCAAGUCGAGGGGUAACAGGGAAGCUUGCUUCCGCUGACGACCGGCGCACGGGUGCGUAACGCGUAUACAAUCUACCUUUUGCUGUGGGAUAGCCCAGAGAAAUUUGGAUUAACACCACAUGGUAUUAUAAUUCGGCAUCGUAUUAUAAUUAAAGGUUACGGCAAAAGAUGAGUAUGCGUCCUAUUAGCUAGAUGGUAAGGUAACGGCUUACCAUGGCAACGAUAGGUAGGGGUCCUGAGAGGGAGAUCCCCCACACUGGUACUGAGACACGGACCAG